rnacentral:tRNA from 1 species
GUCCUUAUAGCUCAGCCUGGUAGAGCGGUAGAUUGAAGUUCUACGUGUCAGAGGUUCAAAUCCUUUUAGGGACACAA